UGUUUGGAAAGACUUCCAGCUUCAUCGCGGAGUUUCUCUCGGUUUGUGGGCUCAUCUAAAGCCAGACACUCACACCUUCAGCCACCAUCGCUCUGGCUGAAGCACCCCAAAGAUGGGCCAACAUCGCCCCUGCUGCCAGCACAAAUGAAGACAUCUGAUUUUGGAAGUAAAAGUCUCCGCCUGAUUGCUACCAUCAAAAAGAAUCGUACUUCAACAGCUCCUGGAUGAGGUCUUCUGCUGCUCUCCUCGCUGAUUAACGGGAGGAGGAGAGUCUGGUGGUGCAGCAGAGCAACAAUUUCAGCCAUUUGGACUCAGCUCAGCCACUACAGAGGAAACAAUGACUUCAACACAAAAGGACCAACAUGGAGCGAGAAGUCAGCGCUCUCAGGAGGCCGACAAACCUCACAGAAGAAAGC